CGGCGAGCGAACGGGGAGCAGCCCAGAGUCUGAAUCAGCUUGUGUGUUAGUGGAACGGUCUGGAAAGUCCGACGGUACAGGGUGAUAGUCCCGUACACCAAAAUGCACAGGCUGUGAACUCGAAGAGUAGGGCGGGACACGUGGUAUCCUGUCUGAAUAUGGGGGGACCAUCCUCCAAGGCUAAAUACUCCUGACUGACCGAUAGUGAACCAGUACCGUGAGG
rnacentral:rRNA from 3 species